UACGUAGGGUGCGAGCGUUAAUCGGAAUUACUGGGCGUAAAGCGUGCGCAGGCGGUGAUGUAAGACCGUUGUGAAAUCCCCGGGCUCAACCUGGGAACUGCAUCUGUGACUGCAUCGCUGGAGUGCGGCAGAGGGGGAUGGAAUUCCGCGUGUAGCAGUGAAAUGCGUAGAUAUGCGGAGGAACACCGAUGGCGAAGGCAAUCCCCUGGGCCUGCACUGACGCUCAUGCACGAAAGCGUGGGGAGCAAACAGG
rnacentral:rRNA from 1 species